GGUCAAGUAAAAAAGAGCAUUAGGUGAAUGCCUAGGCACCAAGAGGCGAAGAAGGACGCGACAAGCUGCGAAAAGCUGUGGGUAGGAGCAAAUAUCCGCCAAACCACAGAUAUCCGAAUGGGGCAACCCACCUCAAAAGAGGUAUCUAUAAGUGAAUACAUAGCUUAUAGAGGCGAACCGGGUGAACUGAAACAUCUAAGUAACCCGAGGAAAAGAAAGAAAACUCGAUAUCCAAAGUAGCGGCGAGCGAAAUGGAUAGAGCCCGACCGUGCAUAAGACGAAAAUAGUUAGCAGAAACUUCUGGGAAGGAGUACCAAAGAGAGUAACAGUCUCGUAAGCGAAAACGAAAAUAGUUGGCACAAGAGAGUACCACCGGACACGUGAAACCUGGUGGGAAGAC
rnacentral:ncRNA from 1 species